UAUGGCCACAACACGUUGAAGCAUCGGUUCCCGUACGAUCACCGAAGUUAAGCAACGUCGAGUCUGGUCAUAACCUAGAUGGGUGACCACUUGGGAAAAUCAGGCGUUGUAA